GGACCCGUGGUCUAGUGGUUAUGACGCCACCUUCACACGGUGGAGACCGCCAGUUCGAAUCUGGCCGGGUCCA
rnacentral:tRNA from 1 species